GGGUUGUGAGGUUAAGCGACUAAGCGUACACGGUGGAUGCCCUGGCAGUCAGAGGCGAUGAAGGGCGUGCUAAUCUGCGAUAAGCGCCGGUAAGGUGAUAUGAACCGUUAUAACCGGCGAUACCCGAAUGGGGAAACCCAGUGUGACUCGUCACACUAUCAUUAACUGAAUCCAUAGGUUAAUGAGGCGAACCGGGGGAACUGAAACAUCUAAGUACCCCGAGGAAAAGAAAUCAACCGAGAUUCCCCCAGUAGCGGCGAGCGAACGGGGAGGAGCCCAGAGCCUGAAUCAGCAUGUGUGUUAGUGGAAGCGUCUGGAAAGGCGCGCGAUACAGGGUGACAGCCCCGUACACAAAAGCGCAUGUGCUGUGAGCUCGAUGAGUAGGGCGGGACACGUGGUAUCCUGUCUGAAUAUGGGGGGACCAUCCUCCAAGGCUAAAUACUCCUGACUGACCGAUAGUGAACCAGUACCGUGAGGGAAAGGCGAAAAGAACCCCGGCGAGGGGAGUGAAAAAGAACCUGAAACCGUGUACGUACAAGCAGUGGGAGCACAGGUUUACCUGUGUGACUGCGUACCUUUUGUAUAAUGGGUCAGCGACUUAUAUUCUGUAGCAAGGUUAACCGAAUAGGGGAGCCGCAGGGAAACCGAGUCUUAAUUGGGCGUUAAGUUGCAGGGUAUAGACCCGAAACCCGGUGAUCUAGCCAUGGGCAGGUUGAAGGUUGGGUAACACUAACUGGAGGACCGAACCGACUAAUGUUGAAAAAUUAGCGGAUGACCUGUGGCUGGGGGUGAAAGGCCAAUCAAACCGGGAGAUAGCUGGUUCUCCCCGAAAGCUAUUUAGGUAGCGCCUCGUGAAUUCAUCUCCGGGGGUAGAGCACUGUUUCGGCUAGGGGGCCAUCCCGGCUUACCAACCCGAUGCAAACUGCGAAUACCGGAGAAUGUUAUCACGGGAGACACACGGCGGGUGCUAACGUCCGUCGUGAAGAGGGAAACAACCCAGACCGCCAGCUAAGGUCCCAAAGUCAUGGUUAAGUGGGAAACGAUGUGGGAAGGCCCAGACAGCCAGGAUGUUGGCUUAGAAGCAGCCAUCAUUUAAAGAAAGCGUAAUAGCUCACUGGUCGAGUCGGCCUGCGCGGAAGAUGUAACGGGGCUAAACCAUGCACCGAAGCUGCGGCAGCGACGCUUAUGCGUUGUUGGGUAGGGGAGCGUUCUGUAAGCCUGUGAAGGUGUGUCGUGAGGCAUGCUGGAGGUAUCAGAAGUGCGAAUGCUGACAUAAGUAACGAUAAAGCGGGUGAAAAGCCCGCUCGCCGGAAGACCAAGGGUUCCUGUCCAACGUUAAUCGGGGCAGGGUGAGUCGACCCCUAAGGCGAGGCCGAAAGGCGUAGUCGAUGGGAAACGGGUUAAUAUUCCCGUACUUGGUGUUACUGCGAAGGGGGGACGGAGAAGGCUAUGUUGGCCGGGCGACGGUUGUCCCGGUUUAAGCGUGUAGGUGUGUGUUCCAGGUAAAUCCGGUUCACUUUAACACUGAGGCGUGAUGACGAGGCACUACGGUGCUGAAGCAACAAAUGCCCUGCUUCCAGGAAAAGCCUCUAAGCAUCAGGUAACAUCAAAUCGUACCCCAAACCGACACAGGUGGUCAGGUAGAGAAUACCAAGGCGCUUGAGAGAACUCGGGUGAAGGAACUAGGCAAAAUGGUGCCGUAACUUCGGGAGAAGGCACGCUGACAUGUAGGUGAAGUGAUUUACUCAUGGAGCUGAAGUCAGUCGAAGAUACCAGCUGGCUGCAACUGUUUAUUAAAAACACAGCACUGUGCAAACACGAAAGUGGACGUAUACGGUGUGACGCCUGCCCGGUGCCGGAAGGUUAAUUGAUGGGGUCAGCGCAAGCGAAGCUCCUGAUCGAAGCCCCGGUAAACGGCGGCCGUAACUAUAACGGUCCUAAGGUAGCGAAAUUCCUUGUCGGGUAAGUUCCGACCUGCACGAAUGGCGUAAUGAUGGCCAGGCUGUCUCCACCCGAGACUCAGUGAAAUUGAACUCGCUGUGAAGAUGCAGUGUACCCGCGGCAAGACGGAAAGACCCCGUGAACCUUUACUAUAGCUUGACACUGAACAUUGAGCCUUGAUGUGUAGGAUAGGUGGGAGGCUUUGAAGUGUGGACGCCAGUCUGCAUGGAGCCGACCUUGAAAUACCACCCUUUAAUGUUUGAUGUUCUAACGUGGACCCGUUAUCCGGGUUGCGGACAGUGUCUGGUGGGUAGUUUGACUGGGGCGGUCUCCUCCUAAAGAGUAACGGAGGAGCACGAAGGUUGGCUAAUCCUGGUCGGACAUCAGGAGGUUAGUGCAAUGGCAUAAGCCAGCUUGACUGCGAGCGUGACGGCGCGAGCAGGUGCGAAAGCAGGUCAUAGUGAUCCGGUGGUUCUGAAUGGAAGGGCCAUCGCUCAACGGAUAAAAGGUACUCCGGGGAUAACAGGCUGAUACCGCCCAAGAGUUCAUAUCGACGGCGGUGUUUGGCACCUCGAUGUCGGCUCAUCACAUCCUGGGGCUGAAGUAGGUCCCAAGGGUAUGGCUGUUCGCCAUUUAAAGUGGUACGCGAGCUGGGUUUAGAACGUCGUGAGACAGUUCGGUCCCUAUCUGCCGUGGGCGCUGGAGAACUGAGGGGGGCUGCUCCUAGUACGAGAGGACCGGAGUGGACGCAUCACUGGUGUUCGGGUUGUCAUGCCAAUGGCACUGCCCGGUAGCUAAAUGCGGAAGAGAUAAGUGCUGAAAGCAUCUAAGCACGAAACUUGCCCCGAGAUGAGUUCUCCCUGAGACUUAGAGUCUCCUGAAGGAACGUUGAAGACGACGACGUUGAUAGGCCGGGUGUGUAAGCGCAGCGAUGCGUUGAGCUAACCGGUACUAAUGAACCGUGAGGCUUAACCUUACAACGCCGAAG
rnacentral:rRNA from 1 species